rnacentral:tRNA from 1 species
GGCAGGAUGGCCGAGUGGUCUAAGGCGCUGCGUUUAGGUCGCAGUCUCCUCUGGAGCCGCGGGUUCGAAUCCCGCUCCUGUCA